GGCCGUGUAGCUCAAUGGCAGAGCGUCUGACUACGAUUAGUAUCUUGGGAUACUUGAUAUGUGAUCAGAAGGUCGCAGGUUCGACCCCUGUCUCGGUCA
rfam:Pochonia chlamydosporia 170 chromosome 1, whole genome shotgun sequence.